rnacentral:rRNA from 1 species
GUGUAAGGAACUUGCCUCUUGGACUGGGACAACUGUUGGAAACGACAGCUAAUACCGGAUAUUAUGAGAUUCUCGCAUGAGAAACUUAUGAAAGCUAUAUGCGCCAAGAGAGAGCCUUGCGUUCCAUUAGCUAGUUGGUGGGGUAAUGGCCUACCAAGGCGACGAUGGAUAGCCGGCCUGAGAGGGUGAACGGCCACAAGGGGACUGAGACACGGCCCUUACUCCUACGGGAGGCAGCAGUGGGGAAUAUUGGACAAUGGGCCACAAGCCUGAUCCAGCAAUUCUGUGUGCACGAUGAAGGUCUUCGGAUUGUAAAGUGCUUUCAGUUGGGAAGAAGAAAGUGACGGUACCAACAGAAGAAGCGACGGCUAAAUACGUGCCAGCAGCCGCGGUAAUACGUAUGUCGCAAGCGUUAUCCGGAUUUAUUGGGGUAAAGCGCGUCUAGGCGGAAAAAUAAGUCUGAUGUUAAAAUGCGGGGUCAACUCCGUAUUG